CGUAAAUAAGGACUGUGUCACUAAUUUUUCGAUAAUACUCGUGUUAUAGAUUUGUUUUACCGAGAAUAUUGCCAUUAUAAAGCAAAAUAUCCGUCUUUCCUAUAUUUUUUUAAAUACCGGCAUCCGAGGCACUUCCAAAGUAACCAAAUUUUUGAAGUUUUAAGACACCUAAUAAACAUUUUGGCACUACUAAUUUUGCUCUUGUAAUUAAAGAAAAAAAUCACUCUGUAAAAAAUCGAACCACUUUUCACAUCAUACACAAAAAAUACGAUUACGAAUUAAUUACGUGAAUUUGACAUUUGAGGUUAUGUGUGCCCUUUGAUGGUUGUCUCAAAUUUUGGUGUUGUAGUUAAACUAAAAUGCCCCUUUUGGCAUCUUGGAAGUGUGAACACAGCUACAUUGAAAGUUAUGAUUGCAAGGACUGCAAUUUCAAAACAGACCUGUCUAUUUUGUUCAAACAGCACGUUAAAAACUACCAUGGCCGUAGAAAACAAAACCAUGAAGUUACCAUUAAAAGUUACAUUUGUGGUAAAUGUAGCUUUGAAACAUAUUUUGCAAUGAAAUGGUUCCAGCACACUAUAAGAUGUAUGAAAAAUAAAGAAAAUCGUGAACUAACAAAUUGUCCAUACCAUUUAAACAAGCAAAACUUUAAAUAGCAUGAAUGCCAAGAUUGUCCCUAUAGAGCUAAAUUGUACCCCACUUAAAACGUCACAUAAAUGCGUACCAUUUAAACGAGAGCGACAUUAAAUGGCAUGAAUGCCAAAAAUGUCCAUACAAAGCCAAAUACAAUUCAUGUUUGAAAAAACACAUAAACGUGCACCGUUUAGAUGAACGCGAUGUUAAAUGGUACGAAUGCAAACAUUGUCCAUACAAAUCUAAACAUAAUUUUGCUUUGAAGUGUCACGUGUGAAUGCCAAGAAUGUCCAUAUAAGGCUAAGGCAAAAGCUAAUUUAAACAGACAUAUAAAUGCACACCAUGUGGAUGGACGAAGUAUGGCGGUGCAAACGGUCUACAUAAAUGUGGAAUAAUUUAAAAAUGUAAAUUUUUUGUGAUUGGUUUUUGUAAACUUGAUAUAAUAAAGUUGUUUUGUAAA